UUUUAGGCAGUUUUAUACUGCUUCUCUGUAUGCAAACAUGCACUCAUACCCAUUGUACAGAUGUGGAUAUAAACAGGAAAUCUGUCUUAAGCAUUCAUCUAAGCAACCAGCAAACACAGGGUUACAUUGCAACUGGUUCCAUAGUCCAGUGGGAAUCAAACUGGUCAUUGAUCUAAUCGCAUACCUGCAAAUGAGGCCUUUGAAUGACUGGCAGCCUUCUUCUGUGGUGUGUGUAUAUUGACAGUCGUUGGAUCUGCUAAAGUCACCCUGCCGAUGUCCUCAUCUUCAUUGGACGUCCUCAAUCACUGCAUGUGUUGCUCUUUUUUCCUUCCUGGGGUAAGCUGCAGCAUUGGGACACAAAGUGCUUCUGUUUCCCACAACCCUGGCCCUGUUUCCUAUAGACUGGGUAUUUUUCUUUCUGCCUUCUUUUGUGGCUUUUUGUGAUACA